UUAAGUCCCAUAACGAGCGCAACCCUUACCGUUAGUUACCAUCAGGUUAAGCUGGGGACUCUAGCGGGACUGCACCGUAAGGUGAGGAGGAAGUGGGGAUGACGUCAAAUCAGCAGGCCCUUAUGGUCCAGGGCUACACACGUGUUACAAUGGCCAGUACAAAGGGCAGCUACCGGGUGACCGGAUGCUAAUCUCUAAAGCUGGUCUCAGUUCGGAUCGAAGUCUGCAACCCGACUUCGUGAAGCUGGAUUCGCUAGUAAUCGCGCAUCAGCCAUGGCGCGGUGAAUACGUUCCCGGGCCUU
rnacentral:rRNA from 1 species